rnacentral:misc_RNA from 1 species
UCCGAGUUGACCCCGGCAGUCUCCCAUGAGUCCCCGGCACAACCCGCUGGCAACAUGGAACGAGGGUUGCGCUCGUUGCGGGACUUAACCCAACAUCUCACGACACGGGCUGACGACAGCCAUGCACCACCUGUGAACCUGCCCCGAAGGGAAGCCCUGUUUCCAGGGCGGUCAGGCACAUGUCAAGCCCAGGUAAGGUUCUUCGCGUUGCGUCGAAUUAAACCACAUGCACCGCUGCUUGUGCGGGUCCCCGUCAAUUCCUUUGAGUUUUAAUCUUGCGACCGUACUCCCCAGGCGGUCUACUUCACGCGUUAGCUGCGUUACCAAGUUAAUUAAAACCCGACAACUAGUAGACAUCGUUUAGGGCGUGGACUAC